GGCCUGGUGGUGUACUGGUAACACAUCCUCUCUUGAUAUAGGAGGAAACACCCCGUUCAAUUCGGGGCCAGGCCA